rnacentral:rRNA from 1 species
UACAUACUGUGCGAACGUUAUUCGGAUUCACUGGGCUUAAAGGGCGCGUAGGCGGUUCGUUAAGUCCUGUGUGAAAUCCCCCGGCUCAACUGGGGAACUGCACAGGAAACUAGCGGGCUUGAGUUCGGGAGAGGGAAGCGGAAUUCCGGGUGUAGCGGUGAAAUGCGUAGAUAUCAGGAGGAACAUCUGCGGCGAAGGCGGCUUCCUGGCUCAUUACUGACGUUCAGGUACGAAAGCGUGGGUAGCAAACAGG